rnacentral:lncRNA from 1 species
UGGAUCAUCAUUCAUCCCCAGCUGCUCUCUUGUGCCUCUUUUCUGGGCAAUUUCCAGCGAGUCAAAAAAAGGGUUCUUGACAUGGCCUCUUACGUAGUCCUUGUUUUCUGUUUGUCGGAUGGGCCUUCAUGCUGGUCUCAGAAGAUGGUCUUUAGGGAAUCGUCUAGACAAGGUUGUGGCCCAACACUGGCCGGAUUACAGGUCACCAAAGCAAAAAACACCCUCCACUACCGCCAUCGGUAUCUCUCCCACACUCUUCUGCAGCUCUUCUCUCAGUCACCAGGCGGAAAAGAAUAUUGUACGCUCAGCUCUCUUCCUUCACUUUCGAAUACUGAUAAUUGGUUGAUUCCUACUUUCCAUUUCCGCUUUAUCGUUGUUACUUGACCGUUGUAUGAAGUCCUUUGUUGCCUAUUUACUUUCUUCUCCUCUGUAAACACGGUUUGAAGUUAUUGGCUCUGUUACUUUUGCCUUUCUUUUGUAAAAAAACGAUGACUUCUGCCAAUGCGGAUUUGACUGGGGCUGUUGGAGCGUCUACUAGACCGUUUUCGACCAAACUUGCUCAUCGGCCCAUGGAUAGGUGUGUGUUUAACCGUUCCUUCCCUGGAAGAUCGCUCUCUGUUGCUGCAUCUGUAGCUAAAAGGGGACUCAAUGGAAUCAGGGAUGGGUCUGGUGGACUUACAUAUAAAGAUGCUGGUGUAGACAUUGAUGCU